GAACGCGAAGAACCUUACCUGGGUUUGACAUGCACAGGACGCUGGUAGAGAUAUCAGUUCCCUUGUGGCCUGCGUGCAGGUGGUGCAUGGCUGUCGUCAGCUCGUGUCGUGAGAUGUUGGGUUAAGUCCCGCAACGAGCGCAACCCUUGUCCUAUGUUGCCAGCGGGUUAUGCCGGGGACUCGUAGGAGACUGCCGGGGUCAACUCGGAGGAAGGUGGGGAUGACGUCAAGUCAUCAUGCCCCUUAUGUCCAGGGCUUCACACAUGCUACAAUGGCCGGUACAAAGGGCUGCGAUGCCGUGAGGUGGAGCGAAUCCUUGUAAAGCCGGUCUCAGUUCGGAUCGGGGUCUGCAACUCGACCCCGUGAAGUCGGAGUCGCUAGUAAUCGCAGAUCAGCAACGCUGCGGUGAAUACGUUCCCGGGUCUUGUACACACC
rnacentral:rRNA from 1 species